CCUCACGGAGGUUUUCGCGCCAAAGGCGAGGGGCGCGCCGGCGCUCAGGGCUGGGUUCGGUAGUGGUCGUGCGCGGCGUCUCGGGCAGCCCCUCACCGACAGGACCCGCUAGUUCAAGAUUUAAAAAGGGCAGCCAACCCCACAGGACUCUGCUGCAGUACUCAGUAAGAAGUUUGUGAGAUUACAGAGAGGCACAACUGAAUGAGACUUGUUUGUCUACACUCAUUCUGUUAAAAGGAGAUCUGGAUUUGGGUACUGUUUGUUCCUCUAAAAGCCUGUGGUUCCUUCUCAAGGGCUGUCAGUUGCACAGUACACAACUGACACUUUACUACCACUUUCACAAGACUGACACAUUUGUGUACUGCCCAAGUACCUGAGAUCUUCUUCGUCACCCAUCUCAACUCCAGCCUCUCUAAGCAUGGCCACAGCUUCACAGUAUUCCAGCCUCAGAGUUGGCUCCAAAAACUUAAAUGGCUCACAUGGGAACUGUUUGUUCACUGUCUGAAUUUCAGUUUGGAAUCUAUAUAUGAGGAAACAAGAACAGAAGCAAGAUACGAAACAAUCAAGGAAUGUACUCUUCUGCAUCUAAUAAUGGUUUUGGAACGGCAAUACAAUUUUGCCACAAGAGGUCCCUCUUGCAACAUAAAAAAUUGUUUUAAAGCCACUUCUGGAGAAAUUCUGUACAAUCCUAAUGAAAUUUUUCAUGUUGAGUCAAUGCAUCUACUUCAAUGAUAUACAUGUUAAUAUUUUACUAUUAUUUCUGUUUUAUUCCUUUUGUAAGAAAUGAUUGACUAGGUCAAAUUUUCACAGUACAGAUAUCCUGUUUGAAAUAUAAGAGAGAGAUUUCCUUCUAGACAGGUGAAAAAAUUUGCAUUUCUGCUGGCAAGAUAGUCUAAUUUGUAAGCAAAUGAAAACCACUUCCUAAACUUUUGGCCUGCCGUGUUAAUGAGUUAGACUGUGAAUAAUAGAAAAUAAUCUUUGCUGCUUUCACAGCAGACGUGCAGGCUGUUACAAUAAAUCUGAUUCAGAAAAACUUUCUUAGAUACUAAAUAUUACGAUUAAUUUCAAAAUAGUACAAUCAGUCUACCUGUAGUGGCACAAAAAGGAAGAAGUUUUAAACUAACAGAUCAUUUCUGUCAGGAAGGCCAUUCAAAAGUAACCAACAAGUCUUCUUAGUGCAAGCUAGCAUACUCUAGGAGAUACAACUCGGCUACAAAUAGUUUACUGGGCUACGGCUUGAGUGAACUUUAAUGUCAGGCACAAAGAAAUAGUUAAGAGCAAAGCAAAAAUGUUCAUUUUUAAGUUCUGUUGUAAAUCAGAUUACUAAUGAUUAUCUGACAAGCUGAGGACAAAACGCUCACCCACUUCACACCACAGCGCAAGAUACCUCAAACAAAUGAAGUUGCUCAUGAAAUGGAAAAUGCUCUCAUUACCUUUCCUGAAGUCCCUUGAAUAUCUGCACCAAGGUAUCUGCAAUCUCAUCUACCACUUCAUGAUAGUGAUAGUUAAAAGCCAUUUCAAUAUCCAGACCAACAAACUCAGUCAGGUGUCUGUGUGUAUUGGAGUCCUCAGCUCUAAAUACUGCAAAAUUAAACAACAGAAAUUCUAACUGACCUGAUGUUAUCAUCCCAUUUUGAAAAAUAACACUGACAAUCAAUCACAUCAGCAUUUGGAUCAGGCAGACAAUGCUGUCUUUAGACAUGACAAUUCUCACUGAAAAACAGAAAGAAACUAGCUGCCUCAAAGCAUCAUUUAUAACAACAGUGACAGCACUAUUGUGGCUGUGGUGCUCAAAGGAUACAAGACAGACAAGAGUUGCAGGGAGGCAGUAGCUCUUGUUAGACCAACAGAUAGAACUGGAAAAAACAGACAAGCUUUCAGGCACACAAGAACUUUCAGAUUUGAAAACUGCCUUUUUCAGAGGAAAUGGACUUGUGUACAUGUGUGUGUUCUGGGGCUUUUUUUUUUCUCCCAAAUAUGAGCCUAAUAUAAACAUCUUCCCAUAAACCAUGACUCAUUGGCUAGUAAUUAACAAGAAAUUUAAGAUCUUCUGAAUACUUGCAUCUUCUUUUUAUUUUAUAAGCUGUUACUGAUUUGUUUUCCAGCAUUUCCAGCUAAUGUAUCUUUAAACCUGACUUCAAGGUCUUAGAAAAAGAUGCUGUAUUACCAUCUAAAAAGGCCACAUCCUAUCAGCUUUUGAGAAAGAGCAUGAGACAGAAAAAAAAAUUACUUUUUCACUAUUUACUGACAGCCCAGUUAAAAGUAUGCAUUUUCUAAAUAAAGUUAUUUGGUACCUAUACAAGAGCAAGGGAUAGGUACAUGUUAAUAUGCAAUCUGAAGUAUAUAAAAUGUAGCUUGCCUAUUUUAACUGCUCACUACUGGGCAACUAAAGCCAACUAGGCAACUACUGGGCAUGGUUAAUAGGAAACUAUGGCUUCAGUAAUCACAGUGGUGUUCCAUGUUUUACUAACGUCAUCAUAUUAUCAAUUUCCAAUGUAACUCUAUUCUUCCUCCUCACAGAACAGCAGGCACUGGAGAAGAGUACUCCACCCUUAUUUCAGCAUGUUAAGUUUUGUUCCAGCAACUUCUCUGUUGACUCUCAUUAGUUGCCCCAACUGAAAUAUGUUUGGUGAGUGAAACUAUAUUAAGUGAAACCAUUCAAAGCUUUCAGUGUACAUGUUAUCUUAUUUGUACCACAGCUGUACACUUCACACUUAGGAUAAACCACCGCUUUUCUUACCUGGCCCAACGCAAAAAACCUUUUCAAAGUCAGCACAUAUACACAUCUGCUUGUACAGCUGUGGGGACUGAGCCAGGUAGGCACUGCUUUUGAAGUAUGACACGGUAAAUACAUUGGCUCCUCCUUCACUGGCAGCUGAAAAGCAAAUGCUUGCAGUAAUUAUUAAAAUAAAAAUGUAAAAAAUAAAUCAGAGGUAGAAAGAUUGACUAUUGGCCUUACAUUUAGAGAUCAGGAGAUUUUUCUUCAAAACAUACUAGAGGGAAAAGUUGUAUUUGCAUCCAUUAAUGCUAAGGGAGGUUUUGCAGCUCAGGACUGUCACACAUCACCUUGCAAAUCUGCAAAUUUCACUGGGAUAGUUUAAGAUGUUACUAUUCCCAGCUGACCGUCACCUUAGAGUGAGAACAGCAGAGAAUGCAUGCCUGUACCACCACAUCCACUUGCACCCCAGCAUUUCUGCAGAAACCAAUCUUUUUCAGGGACAUAGGCUUCCAGGGGUUAACGGCAGAGGCUGAGAUGAAACUGCAUAUCCUGUUUUGCCAGGACCGUCCUCUCUAACUGAAGGCAUCAAUAUCUCAGAGUCAAAAUCAGGUUUACCAGAGGACAUCUGCCAAAAGUACAAAGCUUUUUCUCAGUUUGAGGCAGUUUUCAUAGAAGGUUACCUUGAGAGAAUAGGAACCAAGAACACGUGCAUUCAAAUCGUUUACUGUAAACUGCCUACCAAAGCUAUCAGCUGAGUCACUUUACCUUUCCAUUUCCCAGUGUAAGAUAUGAGAGUUAUAGCUGCCUCGCUUGCCAACAAAAGCAUGCCAGAGUGAACGAUUAGUUAAUAAUCUUUGAAAGUUCUAAUGUUAAGAUAACUCCAGGGAAUGUACUAAUUUUUAUUAUUAUUACUACUAACCAUUCCACUGAGAAUAAUGUUUCCUUUCUUUCUUUACCACUUCUUCCAUUGAAAUGGUUUCAGUGAAUAUUUACAGUUAUUUUUUAAUACAGGUAGCUUGUAAAAUCUCAAAUCUUAAAACAGCUAUGAUAUUUAAAUUUGAAGUUUAGUAAGGAUCGCAUCGACUUAACUUAGUUAUUUUUACAAAAUAUGAUCUCAUUCAAACAAUAGGAUGCUUGCUUGCUUGCUUUCAAUGGUACACUGCACAGCAAGAUCAGCACACUUCCUCAAAGGUCCUACAUAAAUAAACUACUUGGGAGUCUUUAGUACUUCAUGCUGUUUCAACUGUCUCUGUAGGGGGAAAAAAAAAGUUAUCUAAUCUUAUAGUUCAACAAUACUUUCUACGUUGAAAGAAUAGUUGCUUACAUGUAUUUUGUUAAAAAGUCCUUUUUUUAUCUCAAGCAAGAGCUGUCUUCAAAAAUACAAAUAGAGAAGUACAAAACUCAGUAGGCAAAAUGUAUGCGUAUAAUGAAUGCACAUACAGUGAGAAUAAUACAAAUACUCUGCCCUACAGCAGCAUUUUCCAUGCCGUACGUCUUAGUGACAUCAGCAAAACCUCAAAGAACACCCGUAAGAUGGAGGAAAAUCACCCAUCAGUAAAUCAAGUCAUUUGACUUUUGAAAACAAUACAGCACAUCAACAACAGAACCAGAAGCAAAAUCUACAUUUCCAGACUUCUAGUCAGGCUGAAGCUGUUAUGCCACACUCUUAGAAGAAUGAUCUGCUACCAUCUAUUCAGCCAUAUGCUCAUUGCUAAAGUGACAUAUUGUAUAUAACAGCAUCACCUUUUAUACCAUGAUGUGUUUGUUGUAACUUCUUUAAGAUGGAAGCUGCUUUUAAUCGAAAUUAGAGUGGGGUUUGGUUGCUUUUUUUUUUUGAUACUCGGAAUGGAACCGGCAGUGGUCAACACUAAGAACUCUGAUUUGAAGAAUAAUGCGUAUGAUCAGACAUCUGUAUUUAACCAAAUUAAAACUUUAAAUGCACUGCAGAGCACAUAAAUCAA